AGGACGUCGCCCUUCAUAAUAACCUUGUACGAGGAAAGUUGUCACCUAUAAAUGGAUCCACAAAGCCUUGUUACAGUCCUAACUGCGUUCAUAGUGUCCCAACUCAACUAUUGCUAACAUUGGAGGUACUCAUGAACGACAAUAAGCGGCUGCUACAUACACCGUACGAUACUAGGCAUAGAAUUAGGCAGCUUGCGUACUUCUACAUGAUACACGAGUCUGAUCUAGUGUGUCAUCAAAGCACUUGAAUGGACAGGCAAACAUUUGAUAUGUCAUUUACUACGGACUAUAGUUGGCCUAGAAUCGACAAAGAUUAUCGAUGUUGAGGAAAUGUUGUCAUGUUCUUGCACGUUCUUGCCCAUGACGUGAAGAAUCAAUACAAAGGGAAUUUUCUCGGUCUGGUGAGACUGUUUCGUGACAUUUUAAUCUCGUUUUAUUGGUUGUGAUAUAACUCCACGAUGAGUUAAUAAAGAAACAAGUGCCAGUAACAAACACCUGCACGGAUCCACAAUGGAAGUGUUUUGAGAAUUUCCUUGGGGCAUUGGACAAAAAGUACAUAAAGGUGAACGUGCCAUAAAACGAGCGUCAUACGUACAGAACGUGUAAGGGGGAAAUUGCUACUAAUGUUCUCUACAUCUGCGACACAAAAGGGAAUUUUGUAUACGUACUGGCCGGUUGGGAAGGAUCCGCAACCAAUUCGCAUAUUCUUUGAGAUGUGCUUGCAUAACCAAAAGAAUUACAAGUGCCAAAGGGUAUUUACAAUUUAUUAUCCGACCACACCGUUUAACAAUUCCUAAUUGACCGCGCAUAUAGAGGCCAGAGGUACCACUUGCAAGAGUGGCGUGGUGUUGAAAAUGCACCAACCACUACGAAAAAAUACUUCACCACAAAACACUCAUUCGUAAAAAAUAUCAUUGAACGUGCAUUCGGUCUUCUCAAGGGUCGCUAGGCAAUACUUCUUGGGAAGUCGUACUAUCCCCUCCAAGUGCGCAGUGUCACACCAUCCUAGCAUGUUGCCUACUGCAUAAUUUGAUUAAUAAAGAAAUGACGAAAGGCGAAGACUUAGACGAUAUUGGCGAGGGAGACUCAGUGCAACGACCACCACAGGUGACAACAUUCAAUACAUUAAGACCACAAACGAGUGGACUCAGUUGCAGGAUGAAUUAACUGAAGCGAUGUUCACCGAAUGGCAGUUGCGUAACGCCUAGAUAAAACCAUUUGAAAUUAGAUCCCCUGCAUUGUAUGGCAAUUUAUAUUUCCUCUACUAUUUCAUUUGAAUGUCGAAUGUAUGCAUGAAUGAUUUACAGGAAUAGAAAAAUAUUUUUAGAAUGAUAAGCGAUGAAGUUGUAUCA